UUAUCUCUGGGUUCUAAUCCUCAGUUUGAGCACGACAACGGCCAACCUUUAAACGGGCUUCGUGAACUCGAGAGUUUGCAAGGACAGAAGCUCGGGCCUUGCUCCAAUGGCCUCUUCUACUACACUUACCUGUUCCUCUUUCUUGGGUGAACCCAUCUCCUCUGCCUCCUCCUCUUCUAAGCCCCUUUCUGGGGCCACCCAUUUGAGAUUCUCUCCUCCUCCAGGAAAUCAGUGUUCACAUAGAUGUUUUCUAGUGUUUUCUAGGAAGCUAUCAGGAUUAGAGGAGGCAAUGCGAAUUAGAAGGGAACGUGAACUGCAAAGUUCUGGGAAAGUGAGGAGAAGGCCACCUCUAAGGCGUGGAAAGGUUUCUGCCCGUCUUCCUGUGCCAGAAAACAUCCCCAAGCCACCCUAUGUAAACUCAAGUUCAUUACCAGAUCUUUCAAAGGAGCCACAAAUACAUGAUGCUGAGGGCAUUGCUCGCAUGAAAGCUGCUUGUGAGCUUGCUGCACGGGUCUUGGAAUAUGCAGGAACUUUGGUUAGGCCAUCCAUAACAACAAAUGAGAUUGACAAAGCAGUGCACAAAAUGAUUAUUGAUGCCGGCGCGUAUCCUUCGCCUCUUGGCUAUGGUGGAUUUCCAAAGAGUGUGUGCACAUCGGUUAAUGAAUGCAUGUGCCAUGGAAUUCCCGAUUCUCGACAGUUACAGAGUGGAGAUAUAAUAAACAUUGAUGUCACCGUCUUCUUGAAUGUGAUGUCAUUAUUGCGACAUUGCCCUAAAGCCCUAACUUUUUUUCCAACAGUAUCUGUGCCCAUGGAGGGGUAUCAUGGGGACACUUCAAAGACAUUCCUUUGUGGGAAAGUUGAUGAACAAACGGAACGCCUUGUCAGGGUCACAGAAGAGUGCAUGAACAGAGCUAUAUCUGCCUGCAAAGAUGGUGCUAACUUCAGGAAGAUUGGAAAGAAGAUAAGUGAGCAUGCUGAAAGAUAUGGGUAUGGUGUGGCUGAAUGUUUCGUUGGGCAUGGCGUAGGAACUGUAUUCCACUCCGAACCACUUAUAUUGCAUUUCCGUAAUGACAAACCUGGAUGCAUGGUGGAAGGCCAAACAUUCACUAUAGAGCCCAUACUGACAAUGGGAAGCAUUGAGUCCAUUACAUGGGAUGAUAAUUGGACAACGCUUACUGCUGAUGGGAGCCCUGCUGCACAGUUUGAGCACACGAUAUUGAUAACUAGAACUGGUGCUGAAAUUUUAACCAAGUGCUGAGAUCAGGGCAACUUUUCCAACCAAUAUGUGUAAGAUAUUAUCUGCUCUGGAAAUCCUGAAUUAGUUGAGAAGAUACAUUGAAGAUGCAUAUCUGCUCUUGAAAUACUGAAUUAGUUGGGGAGAUACAUUGAAGAUUCAUGGCAGAAGCAGAGAUCACUGAAGCAUAACCUUAUUUGGCCAAAGGGAGGGGAACUAUAGUUGAAGAUGCACGAAUGUCGGUGCGCUCGCGGUUGCACUAUUACUUGUCUAUAGAUGUUAUAAUGAAGUUGUUGUGCGGCUUCAGUUGCUUUGUAGCCUCAAUGUCGCACGUAGGAGGCCGUACUAAAACUUGAAGCCACAUACAUGCAACCACAAGUUCACCAAUUAACGGUAAACUUGCAUCACAAUUACAUUGGAAGGUUACGACCCUACUUUGACAUCAACACAUUGUCAAACUUCUUAUAUCAUUGUUAAGGUGCUUGUUUUGGUUCAUAAA